GUGGGGAAUAUUGGACAAUGGGCGAAAGCCUGAUCCAGCCAUGCCGCGUGAGUGAUGAAGGCCUUAGGGUUGUAAAGCUCUUUCAGUAGGGAAGAUAAUGACGGUACCUACAGAAGAAGCCCCGGCUAACUUCGUGCCAGCAGCCGCGGUAAUACGAAGGGGGCUAGCGUUGUUCGGAUUUACUGGGCGUAAAGCGCACGUAGGCGGAUUGGUCAGUUAGAGGUGAAAUCCUGGAGCUCAACUCCAGAACUGCCUUUAAUACUGCCAGUCUAGAGUCCAGAAGAGGUGAGUGGAACUCCUAGUGUAGAGGUGGAAUUCGUAGAUAUUAGGAAGAACACCAGUGGCGAAGGCGGCUCACUGGUCUGGUACUGACGCUGAGGUGCGAAAGCGUGGGGAGCAAACAGGAUUAGAAACCCCAGUAGUCC
rnacentral:rRNA from 1 species